rnacentral:rRNA from 1 species
CCUACGGGAGGCAGCAGUGAGGAAUAUUGGUCAAUGGUCGGGAGACUGAACCAGCCAAGCCGCGUGAGGGAUGAAGGUACAGAGUAUCGUAAACCUCUUUUGUCAGGGAACAAAGGCGGGGACGUGUCCCCGGAUGAGUGUACCUGAAGCAAAAGCAUCGGCUAACUCCGUGCCAGCAGCCGCGGUAAUACGGAGGAUGCGAUUGUUAUCCGGAUUUAUUGGGUUUAAAGGGUGCGCAGGCGGUCUGUUAAGUCAGCGGUAAAAGCCCGGGGCUCAACCCCGGCCCGCCGUUGAAACUGGCAGUCUCGAGUUGGAGAGAAGUAUGCGGAAUGCGCGGUGUAGCGGUGAAAUGCAUAGAUAUCGCGCAGAACUCCGAUUGCGAAGGCAGCAUGCCGGCUCCACACUGACGCUGAGGCACGAAAGCGUGGGUAUCGAACAGGAUUAGAUACCCGUGUAGUC